rnacentral:rRNA from 1 species
CCUACGGGUGGCAGCAGUGAGGAAUAUUGGUCAAUGGGCGAGAGCCUGAACCAGCCAAGUCGCGUGAAGGACGACGGCCCUAUGGGUUGUAAACUUCUUUUGUAUGGGAGUAAAAUAGCGUACGCGUAGGCUUUUGAAAGUACCGUACGAAUAAGGAUCGGCUAACUCCGUGCCAGCAGCCGCGGUAAUACGGAGGAUCCGAGCGUUAUCCGGAUUCAUUGGGUUUAAAGGGUGCGUAGGUGGUUUUAUAAGUUAGCGGUGAAAGAUCGAGGCUCAACCGCAGAACUGCCGUUGAUACUGGCAGUCUAGAGUACGGGAGAGGUAGGCGGAAUGCGUGGUGUAGCGGUGAAAUGCAUAGAUAUCACGCAGAACUCCGAUUGCGAAGGCAGCUUACUGGGCCGCAACUGACACUGAUGCACGAAAGCGUGGGUAUCGAACAGGAUUAGAUACCCCAGUAGUC